rnacentral:hammerhead_ribozyme from 1 species
CACUGCUGAGGAGUCCCACAAUAGGACGAAACAGCUGUCCAGGGC